ACAAGGACCGCGGCUGCAGCGAGCACAGCGUCUGCAACGCAAACGAGUAUGAGGCUGUCGCGGCUCAGUGGAACGCCGACCGCAAGUGUGCCCCAGUCACUGCUGUGUGCCCUACUGGCACCUACUCGGCCGCGGACCCCACACCCACGGCCGACCGCCAGUGCGCCCCAGUCACCGCUGUGUGCCCUACUGGCACCUACUCGGCCGCGGACCCCACACCCACGGCCGACCGCCAGUGCGCCCCAGUCACCGCUGUGUGCCCUACUGGCACCUACUCGGCCGCGGACCCCACACCCACGGCCGACCGUCAGUGCGCCCCAGUCACCGCUGUGUGCCCUACUGGCACCUACUCGGCCGCGGACCCCACGCCCACGGCCGACCGCCUGUGCGCCCCAGUCACCGCUGUGUGCCCUACUGGCACUUACUCGGCCGCGGACCCCACGCCCACGGCCGACCGCCAGUGCGCCCCAGUCACCGCUGUGUGCCCUACUGGCACCUACUCGGCCGCGGACCCCACACCCACGGCCGACCGCCAGUGUGCCCCAGUCACCGCUGUGUGCCCUACUGGCACCUACUCGGCCGCGGACCCCACACCCACGGCCGACCGCCAGUGCGCCCCAGUCACCGCUGUGUGCCCUACUGGCACCUACUCGGCCGCGGACUCCACACCCACGGCCGACCGCCUGUGCGCCCCAGUCACCGCUGUGUGCCCUACUGGCACCUACUCGACUGCGGACCCCACGCCCACGGCCGACCGCCAGUGUGCCCCAGUCACCGCUGUGUGCCCUACUGGCACCUACUCGGCCGCGGACCCCACGCCCACGGCCGACCGCCAGUGUGCCCCAGUCACCGCUGUGUGCCCUACUGGCACCUACUCGGCCGCGGAUCCCACACCCACGGCCGACCGCCAGUGCGCCCCAGUCACCGCUGUGUGCCCUACUGGCGCCUACUCGGCCGCGGAUCCCACGCCCACGGCCGACCGCCAGUGCGCCCCAGUCACCGCUGUGUGCCCUACUGGCACCUACUCGGCCGCGGACCCCACACCCACGGCCGACCGCCAGUGCGCCCCAGUCACCGCUGUGUGCCCUACUGGCACCUACUCGGCUGCAGACCCCACGCCCACGGCCGACCGCCAGUGCGCCCCAGUCACCGCUGUAUGCCCUACUGGCACCUACUCGGCCGCGGACCCCACGCCCACGGCCGACCGCCAGUGCGCCCCAGUCACCGCUGUGUGCCCUACUGGCACUUACUCGGCCGCGGACCCCACGCCCACGGCCGACCGCCAGUGUGCCCCAGUCACCGCUGUGUGCCCUACUGGCACGUACUCGGCCGCGGACCCCACGCCCACGGCCGACCGCCAGUGUGCCCCGGUCACCGCUGUGUGCCCUACUGGCACCUACUCGGCCGCGGACCCCACGCCCACGGCCGACCGCCAGUGUGCCCCAGUCACCGCUGUGUGCCCUACUGGCACCUACUCGGCCGCGGACCCCACACCCACGGCCGACCGCCAGUGCGCCCCAGUCACCGCUGUGUGCCCUACUGGCACCUACUCGGCCGCGGACCCCACACCCACGGCCGACCGCCAGUGCGCCCCAGUCACCGCUGUAUGCCCUACUGGCACCUACUCGGCCGCGGACCCCACGCCCACGGCCGACCGCCAGUGCGCCCCAGUCACCGCUGUGUGCCCUACUGGCACCUACUCGGCCGCGGACCCCACGCCCACGGCCGACCGCCAGUGUGCCCCAGUCACCGCUGUGUGCCCUACUGGCACCUACUCGGCCGCGGACCCCACGCCCACGGCCGACCGCCAGUGCGCCCCAGUCACCGCUGUGUGCCCUGCUGGCACCUACUCGGCCGCGGACCCCACACCCACGGCCGACCGCCAGUGUGCCCCAGUCACCGCUGUGUGCCCUACUGGCACCUACUCGGCCGCGGACCCCACACCCACGGCCGACCGCCAGUGCGCCCCAGUCACCGCUGUGUGCCCUACUGGCACCUACUCGGCCGCGGACCCCACACCCACGGCCGACCGCCAGUGCCA
rnacentral:lncRNA from 1 species